UUAAAUGCCAACCGACAGCCUGCAGAGAUGCCUUCAAAUCAAAGGUUCAGGUGGGAUGAAGUUUUGUUUGGACGAAGGUGGGAGUUUCCAGGGAGCCAGCUGGAAGUGCAGAAGGGAUGGAAAGCUUUCCCAGGUGCUGGACUUGCCUCUGUGGAUGUGCGCUGAGCUCUCACUGCAGGGGACUGUCAGUUCUGACUGGCUUGAGAAGAACACCAACUUGCAGGCAUCAAAAGCUCAAAACUCGUUUAAUUGAGCUUGAAGAAACUGGAAGAAGGAAUUUGGAUGUAUAAAAACAAGCUGAGAAGAGCAUCAGUGUGUUCACUGGCAGCACGGGCUGGGAUGAGGGCUGAGCAGGACCCAAGCUGCAGCACUUCAACCAUUCAGCUUUCACCUCCUGUUUUA